CCCGGCCUCUUCCACCGAAUGUGGCGUUGGUGAGGCCUGUCCAUGCUGCAGCCUGCAUCUGUCCAUCAUUCCUCGCAUGGCCCAAUAAUGUUCCAUUGUACAGGCAGACCACAGUGGGCUCGUCUUUUUUUUUUUUUUGAGACGGAGUGUCACUCUGUCGCCCAGGCUAGAGUGCAGUGGUGCGAUCUCUGCUCACUGCAAGCUCCGCCUCCCGGGUUCACGCCAUUCUCCUGCCUCAGCCUCCCCAGUAGCUGGGACUACAGGCGCCUGCCAUCGCGCCUGGCUAAUUUUUUGUAUUUUUAGUAGAGACGGGGUUUCACCGUGUUAGCCAGGAUGGUCUCGAUCUCCUGACCUCGUGAUCCACCCGCCUCGGCCUCCCAAAGUGCUGGGAUUAUAGGCGUGAGACACCAUGCCCGGCCUGGGCUCGUCGUUUUCGUGGUUGGUGCAUGCCGGGGUCGUUUCCACCUGUUGCCUCUGGCAGCCGCAUGAGGACCAGCGCCUGCUCACCGCUGUGUCCCUCCUACGUGCGGGGCAGGCACCCAGCAGCAGGUGUUCGGUGCCCACUGGGAGCGUGCCUGGGCCCCUGCUCCUGCUCCUCAGAGGGAACAAACAACUGACCUGCUGAUGGAGGCUGUGAACCCACACGGGUUGUCUGCAGACGUAACGGGGCAUCUCCUAUGACGCUUCUGGAGAGGGCAAGGCUCCACGGCUGAGGGCUUUCUUUGGGUGACAACCAUGUGAAAUGCCAUGACCUUGUGCCACCCCGUGGCAGAUGACUCUCUCAGAAGGUGGUGCGUACCCUUUCCCCAUUAUGGUGUGGACACGCAGAUGUGGGGCCUCUCCCACCUCUUACAACUGGGGCAGGCUGACAACCACAGUAGAAGGGACACCCUGGAACUCCCAGACCACAUCAUAAGAGGCCACGCAGCUUCCUCCUGGAGCUCUCGGGCAGCUGCCCUUGGAGCCUGACUGCCAUGCUGUGAGGAAGCCCAGGUGCCACCGAGGCGGCACAUGCAGAUGUGCAGCCAAUGGCCCUGGCAGAACCUGACAAAGUCAGCACCAGCCACCAGACCUGCCAGCAAGGAUGCUCUGAGCCGACGUCCACUCCAGCUGUCGUCUGACUGCCCACGAGACACCCUGAGUGAGCACUGCCCAGCUAAGACCCGUCAACUCCAGAACUGUGAGAGGCGAUGGUUCCACGACUUCCUGGCUGUAGUCACUGCUGUUGGGCAGCUGUGGGUGACCCUGAAGGGACACUCUGAUAAGGGACAUCUGCCUGCAUGUGUGACCUGAGUCCCAGCCUCAGCUUUCUCAUGUGAAAAAUCAGGACCACGGUAGACCCUACCUUAUAAGGCAGCUGCAAGAGUGAAAUACAAUGGAAAAUGUACACAAGAUAGGGUGGCUGUUCGACGCCCUCUUGGUUCUUCAAAUCUAAGGCCCAUGUCAAGUUUUACCAUCAUUUUGCCAUCAUGAUGAGAAAAGAAAUGAGACCAGCCUGACCAACAUGGAGAAACCCCAUCUCUACUAAAAAUACAAAAUUAGCUGGGCAUGGUGGCACUCGCCUGUAAUCCCAGCUACUGGGGAGGCUGAGGCAGGAGAAUCACUCGAACUCAGGAGGUGGAGGUUGCAGUGAGCCGAGAUCGCACCAUUGCACUCUGGCCUGGGCAACAAGAAUGAAACUCUGUCUCACAAAAAAAAAAAAAAAAAAAAAAAAAGAAAUGGAACUUAAACAAGGAAAUAGUGUUUUCCUUGUUUUGUUUCUUGCUUAUUGAAAGCACCUUGCCUGAUGGGUUGAGGGAGGGAUUUUCAUAAAUCACUGUUGUAUACACACGUAGAGAGAAAAUACCAGCAAGUAAGGGUUACUGUCCCCACAUUUGAGUCCACUUCCUCCGGGUCAAUUUUGUCUAGAGUCAUUGCACCGAGGCUGUCCCUCAUACACUCUUCCUUUGGGCCAUGUACAGGGCUGGGGGACACCCGUUCCCCAAGAGGGGCCUCCACGAUUGACCCGGGAACUUUUGCUUGCUCUGCCGGUAUCUAGAUCUUACCAGCAGGUGCCAGCAAAUGAUCUCUGGACGGCGCCCCAGACUCACUGUCCUUCCCUAGAUGGGCCCUUGAGGCUUGGGAUGGAAGUGUAGAGGGGUCACUGCCAGGUGAUACAGUCAGGUUCAUCCGUGUUGAGCUGGGGCCACCAUGUCAUGAACCUGGCUGUUGGCAGCAUUCACAUGAAACCUGCUUUCAGAGACAAUAAGUGUAAACAAAUGUCUUAGGAUCAGUGCAUUGUGUCCCGGAUAAGCCCCUUCUCCCAAUGUCCCUCCACAACACUCACACGAGGAAAGGAGGCUGGGAGGUGGGGAGGCUGGGAGGUGGGGAGGCUGACAGGCUGGGAGGUGGGGAGGCUGAGAGGUAGG
rnacentral:lncRNA from 10 species